rnacentral:rRNA from 1 species
CGGGGUGAGUAAUGUCUGGGAAACUGCCUGAUGGAGGGGGAUAACUACUGGAAACGGUAGCUAAUACCGCAUAACGUCGCAAGACCAAAGUGGGGGACCGUUCGGGCCUCAUGCCAUAAGAUGUGCCCAGAUGGGAUUAGCUAGUAGGUGGGGUAACGGCUCACCUAGGCGACGAUCCCUAGCUGGUCUGAGAGGAUGACCAGCCACACUGGAACUGAGACACGGUCCAG